CCUACGGGUGGCAGCAGUGAGGAAUAUUGGUCAAUGGGCGCAAGCCUGAACCAGCCAUGCCGCGUGCAGGAAGAAUGCCCUAUGGGUUGUAAACUGCUUUUAUUUGGGAAUAAACCUCUUUACGUGUAGAGAGCUGAAGGUACCAAAUGAAUAAGCACCGGCUAACUCCGUGCCAGCAGCCGCGGUAAUACGGAGGGUGCAAGCGUUAUCCGGAAUCAUUGGGUUUAAAGGGUCCGCAGGCGGAUUUAUAAGUCAGUGGUGAAAUCCUAUCGCUUAACGAUAGAACUGCCAUUGAUACUGUAAGUCUUGAAUUCGGUCGGAGUGGGCGGAAUGUGUAGUGUAGCGGUGAAAUGCAUAGAUAUUACACAGAACACCGAUAGCGAAGGCAGCUCACUAGGCCUGAAUUGACGCUCAGGGACGAAAGCGUGGGGAUCAAACAG
rnacentral:rRNA from 1 species